UUUUUUUUUUAGUUUUUUAUUUUGUUCAUUAUGUGAUUAUCUGCUUUUAACAUGUGAUGCAGUCCAAGUUUGAGUUUGACGGUAAUGCUAAGGCUUAGGUGCUGAAGUCAAUUGGUGAAAAAAUGGAGGGAAUGGAAGCGCAAGCUGAAGAAACUCCACUACUCUUCUCAUAAGACUGAUGAGGAGCAGCUCACAGAUCUUGAUGAGCGGGUCCAAGAGGAUCAAUGGAAGACUCUCGUUCAGUUUUGGAGCUCUGAAGAGGGGAAGGCUCGUUCUAAAACAAAUAUAGAGAAUCGAAAGAAACAACUGAUUAACCACGCGGCAGGCACGAAGAGUUUUGCGCGAAUAUGUGAAGAAGAGAGGAAAAAGGCCAAUGGGGAGGGUCUAAGCCGAGCAGAUAUGUUUAUAUUGACUCAUACAUGCAAAGAUGGAAACCCUAUGGAUGAGGCCUCAUCAAUAGUAAUGGCAAAACUCAAUGAAGAAAUAUCUCAGCAACCUGGAGCCUCACAGAAUAGCUCGGCAAAGAAUGACCUAUUAUCUUAAGUCAUGGGAGAAGAUAGGCAUGGUCGUGUCCGCACUUAUGGCUUAGGACCAUCUCCAUCUGAUUUGUGGGGCGCAACAUCCAGCCAGCAAAGCAUGGCCUCCAUUGCUCAGAGGAGAGAUGAAAGAUAUGAGGAACUACAUGCUGGCAUAGUCUCUCUAAAAGAAAAUAUAGCUGCCACUCUCAUCCUUAAGAGAAGCUGAAAUGUCAUCCCUUAAAGAAACUAUGGUUGAAAUCUCAUCCGCAAGAGAUGCUGAAAUUUCUUCCUUAAAAGAAACUAUGAUGAAAUUGAUAGCCACUAUGAACAAUGCAAACAAUAACCCACCCACAGUAUUUGGUGUUGUAGUUAGUUCUAACAUGAACCAACCGCCCUCAUCAUCAAGCCAUUGGGUGAUCUCUCGGAAACACUCGAUGAAUAAGGGGAAGACCACGAGUUGCACUAGUGCUGGGGAUGUGACUGGAGUUAGUCUUAUAAGUAUCACGAAACCCGGGGUUACUAUUGCUAAAGGAGUUGUUUUAAGCAAGGAUCCACUCACAAAAGUAGGGGGCAUGAACUUGGAAUUGGUUUCUAGGAAGUAUUAAUUCAUGUGGCAAUAAUACGGCAUAAGGUUUUGAUAAGACCCUAUGGACGAUAUAAAACAAUUGGGGAUGCUAUUGGAACGAGUGUUGUUUGGCCCUCUAUUUUGUGUAAGUUUAAGGAGAGAUGGAUUGAGCUAAAUGAAAGGACCUCUCUCUCUCU